UGUCAGUGUCCAGUGUUUCUACAGUUCUGGAUAUCAGUAUAAUCUCAAACAGUGGUGCAGAUAUAAAGAUCAGAGCUGUUACACAGUGGGGAGGACUGACACAUCCCAGAAACCAUCAGUCCAGAUCAGUGAUGAUGGGAGAAGCUCCUUCACUGUGCUGAUGACUGGACUGAGACUCAGUGAUUCUGGAUGGUACUUCUGCUCAGUACGAGAUCUGCAGGUUCCUGUUCAACUCAUUGUAAAUGAACCCAAACGUGCAGUGACAAAUAUUCCAACAGCUCCACCAUCUGACUCUGAGACAGACAUAUUGCGUUUCUGUCUGUCACAGAACUAGAGUUUUCUCCACAUCGACCUGAAAGAUCAGAUGAUUAUAAACUGCUGAUUCUGCUUUUGCUUUACACUCAGUCAGAAGACUAAAGAUCUGUUUGUAGAAUGUAUUACACGUCUACAUUUGCUAAAUGCCUAAAUGUAUGUAAUGUAUUUUUUUCUUCAAAUGCAGAGGAUGUGUAACCAUUUCUCUUUAAAUGAUUUUAUUUCUUUCAUCAAGUGACUUACAAAUGAGUAACAUACUAAAUAAAAUUACAUCAUUUGAAAAAGUGUUCA